UAAAUUCCCAAGAAUUCAAACUUAGAUUUUUAGAGUCCAGCUUACUAUUUAUAAAUGAGGAAAGUAAGACAAAAAGUAAUUCAGUUUUUUUUUUUUUUUUUUUUUCCUAAGGACAUGGAACUUGAGCAGCAGAAACAGGACCGAAACCUGGCUCUUCCCUUAUGCCACAGUCUUUCUAUGUCUUAAAAGCUACAUGUUGUAGCAGAAAGAACGGAGACUUCAGAAUUCUAGUUUCACCUCCUAGUAACAUGUCUUAGGUAUGUUCUGUUUAACAAAUAUGUAUGUGGUCCAUAUUUGUACAUUUUUUCGGUAUGACACAUAUUAUUAUUUAAUCUGCUUGAAGCAAUGUACUUAACUUCUAGAAACUCCUGUUUUCUUACUCGUAAAAUGUUAAUAAUGUAUUCUCCCUUGCAGGGUUAAUGAAAGAAAUAGAGAAAAAACAUGAGAAGCGUGUACCACCAAGUAAACAUUCACUGAAUGGUACCUAUUUUAGUCACUUAGAAAAAUCCUCAUAGAUUUUAAACAGACUAGCCUCGAGUUAUACAAAUAAGCACUAUUAAUGGCAGAAAUGAAAGUAGUUAACUCCAAAGGAUUAAUUCACUGCUGAAGACAGUAUUUUUCAUGAAUCAACAAAAGGGCUUCUGAAAGAUUUCAGACUAUCUAGUCUUUGGUCAUGAAUUCUGUUUAAAACAAGAAAGUUGAGCCAAAGAAGCAAAAGAAUGAGGAGGAGGGGUAGGAGGAGGAGGGAGAGGAG
rnacentral:lncRNA from 1 species